CAGCAGCCGCGGUAAUACGAAGGGGGCUAGCGUUGUUCGGAAUUACUGGGCGUAAAGCGCACGUAGGCGGAUAUUUAAGUCAGAGGUGAAACCCUGGAGCUCAACUCCAGAACUGCCUUUGAUACUGGGAAUCUUGAGUAUGGAAGAGGUGAGUGGAACUGCGAGUGUAGAGGUGAAAUUCGUAGAUAUUCGCAAGAACACCAGUGGCGAAGGCGGCUCACUGGUCCAUAACUGACGCUGAGGCACGAAAGCGUGGGGAGCAAACAGGAUUAGAUACCCCGGUAGUCCCUGUCUCUUAUAC
rnacentral:rRNA from 1 species